GCCUGGGUGGCUUAGUCAGUUAAGCACCUGUCUUCGGUUCAGGUCAUGAUCUCGGGGUCCUGGGAUCUAGCUCCACCUCAGGCU
rnacentral:tRNA from 1 species